AGUGAUAUUCAAAACAAGAGAUAGAUCUGCACUGAAAGUGGAUGACAGCUUAAUGAGAGGGGGAGAUGAAGCUCAUGCGCUUUCUAUAACUCUCCUGUGCGUGCGCCCUUCUCUGAGAGACGUCAGUGAAGAUCCGCUGUCAAAUGCAUCUCCCAUGAUCCUCUCUGGCCCACUCAAGAUAUUUCCUCCACAAAAAUAGAAUGUAAUAUGCAGGUUGCAGGAAGCAGCCCCUUCCUCAAUGACCAAAAAUGGAAGGCCAGGACAGCCUGGGGUGAUCCUGGAUACCGGGGAUCUACUACUGGCUGCAUGAGCUGGAAGCAGGAAGAGUGGGAAGACUUCCCAGGGUGAGUAGAACUGACAGAGUGUGGUCCAAGGAUGAGGAGACCAAGUCUGCAGAAGGAGGCACCUCUGGGGUGCCUUUCUUCCUCCAGUCUCUCUGAAACAGAGGUCCAUCCUACCACCAUCCUGCUGCUGCCGCUGGCUUCUGGCUUCUGUGUUAAUUACAAGUGUCGGAAGAAGAGCUGACUGCCUUUUGUCAUGAGCAACUUUCCCCAAAUCCCAGCUCACUCUCAUCCUGGCUCACUGUCCUCCCAUCAAGAAUUCUUAGUCUUUCACUUGUGCCUUUGGGACACAGGGGAGUGCUGGAGUUUCAUUUAUGGGAAAAAAUGGACAAUUAUCAUCAAUAAUGGGAAGAAACUGCAGCAAGGGUAGGUUGCAAAAACGCAGAUUGUCUCAGGCCCAGGGCUUUCUAUUCAAAAUGGAUUCUGAAAGGCCUGGAUUGGUGCCAGAGAGCAGAGCAAGCCUAGAGACCACCUCCCUCAGGCUCAACCCUAUUUACAAGAAAUGGCAUUUCUCUCCCCGGUAGAUCCUGAGACACAGUUUAAUCUAAGGGGAGCAACAUGGGAGGGAAAAAAGAAAAUGAGAAAAACCAAUAAAUAGUAAAAACAGGAAGCAGGAAAAAACAGGCCUGGAUGUACAAUU